AACAACAGUUACAGUUUCCCCAAGUUUAUAUACACAAUGUGGCAUUCAAUUAGAAAUACAAAGCAAGAUAUAAAACAGAAACAAUGCACUUGAAACUAAGAGAAAUUACAAAUGAUAGAAGCAGACCCAGAAAAGAUUUACUUACUGGAGUUUUCAGACAGCUCUACAGAUGUGUUAUCCAUCUUUCUCUGCUCUGUGCCCCACGAGCCUGGACCACAAAGACUGCAUCACCUGGGAUCCCCUGUCUUCUAUUUUCAAGUUGGGUUUGACAAGAGGAGGCAGUAGCUGGAGAACAGUGGCUGGAAGGAAAAAGAAAAAUCAGAGUUUUUUUUUGUUUUUUUUUGUUUUUUGUUUUUUCUGUGUCCUCUCCUCUGUUCCUCCACUUUGGUCUUGGAAGUAGACUUUUCGCUUGACUCAUACAGCUCAUAAUAUCAUUCUCUUCUUCUACUAUUCUGGCUCUCCCUGCAAUCCAGUAAUACUAUGUCCUCGAUUUCCCCUUUGAACAGGUAGCAGUAAUGAUUUUCCACUGUUGCUGGUGUCUGGUGGACCUCAACAUCACUUGUUGGUUUCCUUAACCCUGCUUCUAUUGCUACAGAUAGUCUCUUCAAUAAAUUCUCAGUGGGUAA